rnacentral:lncRNA from 1 species
AAAAUUCAAAAAUUCAUUUAUUAUGAAAUGAAGGGAGCAUUAACCACAUACUAAAUAACGGAUGAGAGUUUGCGCACACCACAACAAAUCAAAAGUUUUCCCCAAGUUUUCCCGCUCUCAGCUUCGUCGUUCCUCUCAAGUUUCUUAUCCUGUUGAAGGUUUAUGAAUCGUUUUCCCCAAAAGACCACCUUACCUGAUCUCAGUUCAAUCUUCAAUCUUACAAAAAUUUGCUACCUCCCAUCAACAACUUUUUCUAACAAAAUAUUGAAUAAAUUGAACUAAAACUUGCUUAUUCGACAAGCAGAGAUGUGAAGAGUCUCAUUUCAGUGAUUAGCUCCAUGCCUAACUCAUUAUAAUCAACUUACCAGGCAAAAUUUUUUGGUUUACAAGUUCUGUAACUUUAAGGUCAGCAUUUGGAAAAAAAGUCCAUGGCCAAGAUAAGUUGAUAAAGGAUAUCUCAUCAUUGUUCUGUUUACCAUUGUUAACAUAUAAAUAAGUCCUUUCACCUGGUUAAUACUACUACUUUUGAAUAACAAAAUAGAGUGUAAAUCACAAAAAAUAAAUUUACUUUUUAGUUUCAGGGUUUCAACGAGCACGUUUGAGUAAGAAAUUUUCACAAUUCUGGAAAUUUCAUUACUAUUAGUUGCUUCUUAGAGCACCUUUAUGUGCCUCACUGAAUUAGUGAAAACAAAAAGAGUCUUGUUGUGUACUCCCUUCAUUUCGGAAUAAAUAAAUUGUUGAAUUUUGACACACAAAUUAAGAAAAAAAUAUUAAAGACAUAAAUGUAACACUCCUUUCAUUUUUACCCAUAAAAAGAAAAAGCUGACCUUGGUAAUGACUUUUCAUUUUUACCCAUAAAAAGAAAAAGCUGACCUUAGUAAUGACUUUUUAAAAGUUAAUUGAUUGUCAAAUUAAACACUAAUUUUGAAACACCAAUAAAUAUCCAACAAUUCAUUUAUUACGAAACUGAGCAAUAAUUCAUUUAUUACGGAAGAAAGAGAGUAUCUAUCAUGUUUUCACAUAAUCAAUCCUGAAAUUUGAAUUUCACUGACUGUGCCAUGUGUUGGAACUCAACUAAUUUUAACUUUCAAAAUUUUUAAAAAAAAAAAAAAAAAGUGAAAGGAUUUAAGAGCCUAUUAGUGCACAAGCCGUAAUAAAGAACGACACAUGCAAGCAUAUAAACUCACGCCGGAAUGGCUUGUUAUCGGCAGCACAAAUGGCUGAUUGCGCUAUUUUUGUUUCUCAAAGCGCAGUUUGCACACUCAUUGCCUUUUCUAUAACACAUCAGUACUAUUUUUUUUCUCAAUGCAAGCGUUUGGACAUGCGAUUUCAUAUCAAUAUUUCAAAUCGUCGUAAAAUAAUCAUUGCAAUAUAAAAAUUAUUUACUUACAUUAGAGAAUAGAGACGAUGGCCGGCAGGAGGAGAAGAAGAUCAAAUUACUGGGAACGAUAAGAUGGAUUUGAGAUUUUAUAAGGAUGAAAAGAGCCCUAGUUUUUAUUUGGGCUUAAUGGGCCUUUGUCUUAAGUUAGUUCAGGU